ACGCUCGACACCUACGUGAGGCAGCAGUGGGGAAUAUUGCACAAUGGGGGAAACCCUGAUGCAGCGACGCCGCGUGAAGGAAGAAGUAUCUCGGUAUGUAAACUUCUAUCAGCAGGGAAGAAAAUGACGGUACCUGACUAAGAAGCCCCGGCUAACUACGUGUCAGCAGCCGCGGUAAUCUGAGCGGGCUGGCAAGGC
rnacentral:rRNA from 1 species